GAGGAGGUUACUGACAGCGAAUUUCGAUGGGGCCUCUCCACUACCCAGUUAUGGCACCGCCGCACCGGAGGCGGGGGAGCUCCUGCCUAUGGCAGGGGGCAGCGCCACGGGGCAGAUCUGUGCGGCGCAAGGGGCGGCAGAUGCGAAACUGAAGCUUCCCCACAACCUUCGGAGCAGUCAAUUGAGCAGAUGGACACGACACACGACGAGUGAGGAUUGGUGCUGCCGCUCCUGGUAGGACCCCAAUGUCCUGAUCGAGCUACUGUCAUGGAGAGGGCAAUACGUGGAUUUGCUUCAGAUAUUGGAGACAACGCCAUUGUGCCGAAGCUCGGAACAAUAUUCGAUACAUUGGGUGAAGCAUACGAUUUUUACAAUCUGUAUUUAUGGGAGAAAGGAUUUGCCAUUCGAUAUGGUAAAAACUAUCUGAAUGUCGAGAGGACAAAAUGCAUAAAAUAGUGUGUGCCUGUGGGUGGAAAUCUAUUGUGGAUAAUACUAGGUCUUGCCAGCGUUAGUGCCCUACUCUGAUAAGGCUGCUGCGGUCUGAACCAUUCAUUGUCUCGCACGUAUGCGCAGACGAUACACUGGCGAUCGCACAAGCACAUCAACGUGUACAACAGGGAUUUGGUGAAGAAUUUGAGGCAGAGCAAUGUGAACCUUGCUAAAGUGCACAACAUUAGGCAGUUUCUUUGGGUCGAUGGAGAAUGUUCCUUUCACGAAAAGAGCUUUAAGGAACUUGUGUGGCAAAAUAAGCCGCGAGCAAGCGGAUGAUGAUGUUAGUUAAACAAUGGAGGUGUUUGCGGAACUUGGUUCAAAGGAUCCUCACUUCACAUAUCAUGUGCAGGCCGAUAAGGAGGGGAGGGAUAAACGCACUCAUGUGGGCAAAUGGGGACAGUAGGCUGGUGCAAAAAAGAUUAGCUUAUUCUCAAAUUUUCUGUCUCUAAUACUGAAUUUGGUGUGUACCGAUAAAUCAUGUAGCGUGUGAGAUCCAUCAUGCAGUUUAACUGCUAAUCCCAAUUAUGUUAUGCAUGCCCUGAAGCUGAUGAAUUUGUGUUCUCCUA